CAGCCGCCGCGGUAAUACGAAGGGUGCAAGCGUUACUCAGAAUUACUGGGCGUAAAGCGUGCGUAGGUGGUGGUUUAAGUCCGUUGUGAAAGCCCUGGGCUCAACCUGGGAAUUGCAGUGGAUACUGGGUCACUAGAGUGUGGUGGAGGAUAGUGGAAUUUCCGGUGUAGCAGUGAAAUGCGUAGAGAUCGGAAGGAACAUCUGUGGCGAAGGCGGCUAUCUGGGCCAACACUGACGCUGAGGCACGAAAGCGUGGGGAGCAAACAGGAUUAGAGACCCCCGUAGUCCCUGUCUCUUAUAC
rnacentral:rRNA from 1 species